rnacentral:ncRNA from 2 species
CAUCUAUCAAGAGUGGUGGAGGGACUGGCCCUAUGAAACCCGGCAACCGGCAUUUUUUAUGAGCACGGUGCUAAAUCCUGCAGAAUUUAUUCUGGGAGAUAGUUA